AGCAGAAUCUUUGUAUGCUUCCUAGUGUUAACUAAAAUAGAACACUAGGGACUUCAGUAAGUUGUUUUGUUUAAGUCCAACUCAGCAAGCUUUUCUCAAAGCCAAGUCUGCUUGAAGAGAUGAAUUAUUCUGAGUUGGAUGUUCAUGCUCUUUGAUGGGUAAAAUGAAAAUAUUCAGUGUAUUCUUGGAAAACAAGGUGGGUGGGUGGGUUUUAGUGUUUUCAGAUUAUAAAGACAGCACUUUCAGCACACAUAAGAGUAUUUUGCAAACCUCUUUUAUACAGAUUAUGAGCUCUACUUUGUUUAAGUGUUAAAAUGGAAUGAUGUAAAUUUUAGGUGCAGUUGAACAAAUAUUGAGUGCCUACCAUGCGAGAUUUCCUCUUCACUAAGAAUGAAAUCACCACACCGUGUCUUCUGUUUGCAGUAUGUGGACUUUACGUUUGAAAAAGAAUUCUUAUAUUUAAAUCUUUUUUUGUUGUUAGAGUUUAUCAUUGUAUACUGUAACCCAGUUAAUUUUUGCCUUCAGUUUUUUAGAAUGAAAAUAUAACUUGAGUCCCAUUUUUGAAAAUAAAAGUCUGCUGAAAUUAUUUAAAAAUUAGUUCUGGGGGGAAUUGAUUUUCAAGAUUCAAAUGUAUAAAGACACAUUGAACUUUUCAGCCUCAUUUUUAAUCAAGCUGAUGUCAAUGAUGAGAUACAUACUUUUUGUAUCUUGUUGCUGAAAAUAUUUUUUGCAUUUCAGCACGUUGAGUUAAAAUAAAGUUGUUACUACUUAUUC
rnacentral:lncRNA from 1 species